UUAAGUGUUCCCUUUAUUUUUUUGAGCAGUAUACAUGCUCACCUCUGCCAAUUGGAAACUGUUGCCCGCUUGUCUGUCCCAUUUCCUUAAUAUGUUCUAUUGCGCAGUGGCAAUCAAGACCCAUAACCCCACACUACAACCCUCCAACCCUCCUCCUGUUGCUGCCCAAUAGCUGUCUGAUACAGUUUCCCCCCAGGAGACCAGCUACACCCCCAUCCUCACCCAGGUUGAACCCCCGAUAUCCCCCACCACCCAGGAGACCAGCUACACCCCCAUCCUCAACCAGGUUGAACCCCCGAUAUCCCCCACCACCCAGGAGACCAGCUACACCCCCAUCCUCAACCAGGUUGAACCUCCGAUAUCCCCCACCACCCAGGAGACCAGCUACACCCCCAUCCUCAACCAGGUUGAACCCCCGAUAUCCCCCACCACCCAGGAGACCAGCUACACCCCCAUCCUCAACCAGGUUGAACCCCCGAUAUCCCCCACCGCCCAGGAGACCAGCUACACCCCCAUCCUCAACCAGGUUGAACUCCGAUAUCCCCCACCACCCAGGAGACCAGCUACACCCCCAUCCUCAACCAGGUUGAACUCCGAUAUCCCCCACCACCCAGGAGACCAGCUACACCCCCAUCUUCAACCAGGUUGAACUCCGAUAUCCCCCACCACCCAGGAGACCAGCUACACCCCCAUCCUCAACCAGGUUGAACUCCGAUAUCCCCCACCACCCAGGAGACCAGCUGCACCCCCAUCCUCACCCAGGUUGAACCCCCGAUAUCCCCCACCGCCCAGGAGACCAGCUCUACUAUCCUUAAUCAGGUUAAACCCCCAAUAACCCCCACCGCCCAGGAGACCAGCUACACCCAAACCGAACCAAAGAAGACAGGGAGAAAGUCCUGUCACCCUCAAAAAACCCUCCAAGCAUGACACAGUCAACCCCAUCCAACCCUGACCAAGGAAGAGGAAAUAUGACUACAUGCAAAAGAGUGUCCAGUGCAUGUGGGACAAACGAUUUUCCCUAUUCUCAAAAUUCUUGCCAAUAGAACUUCAAAGGAGGAAAUGGCUUCCUGAAAUUCUCUCCAAGCAGCUGAUUGGUCAGCCCCAAUUGAUGAUUGGAGAACUGACCCCGCCCCCCCAGAUGAUUGCUGAGAGAGGAGGCUGAUGGCUAUAGCAUGUUGGUUGUUGCUAACAGAGUUCGUAUGUACUGUGUUAGAUGAUUGCUGCGAGAGAGAGAAGGCUGAUGGUUAUAUUGUAGGUUAGUUGUUGCUGAGAGUGAGACAGCAGUUUUGUUAUGCACUAUGUUAGUGUUGCUGGGAGCAGCCUUGGUAUGUUCUGUGUUAGUUUGUUGUUCAGUCAAAUAGAGCUUAUUUGAUAUCCUGUUUUUUUGUGUGUGUGAAAUUGUUUAUAAUAUUCUGUUUCAUUUGUUCCCCCAAAUUACCGCGUGACGGAAUAAAUUCCUU
rnacentral:lncRNA from 1 species